rnacentral:rRNA from 1 species
ACUGGAGCUAAUACUGGAUAGGAUGUGUGCAUGAAAAAAACACAUUUAAAGAUUUAUCGGUUUAAGAGGGGUCUGCGGCGCAUUAGUUAGUUGGUGGGGUAAAAGCCUACCAAGACGAUGAUGCGUAGCCGGACUGAGAGGUCUACCGGCCACAUUGGGACUGAGAACGGCCCAAACUCCUACGGGAGGCAGCAGUAGGGAAUUUUCGGCAAUGGGGGAAACCCUGACCGAGCAACGCCGCGUGAACGACGAAGUACUUCGGUAUGUAAAGUUCUUUUAUAUGGGAAGAAAAAUUAAAAAUUGACGGUACCAUAUGAAUAAGCCCCGGCUAACUAUGUGCCAGCAGCCGCGGUAAUACAUAGGUCGCAAGCGUUAUCCGA